GGGGGGGAGAGAGCAGGAAAAUGGAGGGCGCGCAGGCCCUGUGGCGAUGGGUGCGUUGUGUUUACUCCGUAUCUUUUUGGCAGCUAUUGCUUAGGGCAGGGAGAAAGGAGCAAAAGGAACCCUGUAACCACAGCAUCACGGCUCAUUUCUGGGACCGGAAUAGCUGGGGCCGCUCCUAUUGUGUGUGGCUGUAAGGAAAAGCCAGGAAGAGCAGAAAUGUGUAUUAGAAGAGCUGGAAAACGUUACACAGAAAGCCGGCGAGCGUUAGCAGCUGCUGCUGUGUCACGCUGGCUCUGCUCUCUCCUGAAUCCUGAGCCGCCCUCAGCCUGCCCUGCAUGGCAGCUCCUCAGUGCUGAGAGCUCUGCUGCUGAAAGGGCUGUUAGCUGCUGUCGGAACAGGAAGCCCUGAGCAGGUCACAGAGCAGCUUCCUGCUGUGAGCCAACGUGGCAGUGUGCUUGGUGUUAAUUGAAGUUCAUUAUACCUUUUGGACUGGCUCUUGUGUCGUAAUCAGAGAAUGCAAAAUCCAAAAAGGUUUUCAUGCUGUUUCAUUUGCUGCUCGGUGAAUGCAGAUGAACUUGCUGGUAAAUCCUGUGCUCAGGAAGCAUGGGCGUGCUGUGAAUAGCAGGAUUUAACACAGAGCCAUGAGCUGUAUUUCCCUCAGUUAAAAAGAAAAACCUCUGGUUUCAUUUCUUUUAGCAAGGCCCGCGUCUGCUCAGCACUUUGUGGUUUACAGUAAAAAGGAAAUAAAUCUUUCCAGCAGUUAUUCAGAAUGUAGGCAGGAAGGGAGGAAAAGAGUAACUGGAAAGCUCAGAGACUGUUCUGGGGCAGUCACCAACCUCUGAGAUACUAUUCAGCUAUGCAGAUUUAGGACAAAGGGCGGAUUUAAGCAAUAUUACAUGCAUUUCCUUAACACUGCCAACUUUGCUCACUGUUUCCAAUAGGUUCAUUCUGCGUGCGCAGUGCCAAAGCAGUAGAUGUUAGAGCCAAGGCAGCUAAACAAGGAGCUCUGAGAGGAAAGCCAUGAGAAACUAGAAAUAAUAUUUACAAAUGUGAAAGGCCGUUGCUGCUAAACUGGAGAUUUACCAUAAAGUAAUCUAAAGCCUAGCCCGAGUGUUUUGGGCUUGCAUUAAGGAUUUCAGCACUUCCAGAAAAUGCCAGAGCCCUCCCUUUAAAAAACAAACAAACAAAGUAUUGGCAAAGCCUGUGACUAAACUGUUUACGAAAGCAGUUGUUCGCUUUCUAGUUAAAUAUAUCUAAGUAUUUAGUAUGUAUACUGCCCUUCCUCCAGUAGCUCUAGGUGAAUAAGCCACUGACUGUGGACUGUGUAUAAAUAAAUGCAAACCUGAAAAUACAGAACGCCGUAUCUUGUGACUGGACUGAGUGCACAGGUGGUUCCAGCCUUUGCCAGGGUGCAGAGCCUGCUGCUGGGGACACGUGUUUCUUGCCAGCAAUUUCAGAAUCUGUCUCCUGCUUACGAGUCUGCUGGAGCCGAUCCAAACUGCAGUGCAGUGAAGGAGCUCUCUUUGUUCCUGUUUUCUUUGCUGUGUCUGAGCAGGAUAGCAGAGAACCAUCUUGAAAAACAGAAAGAAGUGAGUCUAGAAUGCUGUGAAUAAUUAACAUUUUUCUACUGAACAGCAACACUGAAGACCAUUCUGAACAGCCUUUGUCCAUCAGACCCUUUGUCUUCAGAUCCAGCUCGGAUCCCUUGAUAAGGGGAAUAUCCAGAAAGGUCCCCCCCAUGAUCUUAAGACUAAAAUCCAAACAUUGAUAUUUUUCUCCCCUGUACAAACUGUGAAAUCUUUAACGCCUCAGUGCUUUUAAGCCUGGUGUUAGCUAUGAACUACUUCUAGUUCCCUGUUUGUUAGACAAAAAGCAUCUACGGUUUCUACUUCCCUUAAACCCACAAACAUGUCGCUGCUUUUAGUGCUGCUUCUGCAGUGAAAAUGCCCUUACAGGCAGAAUCCACACAGGCUGCAAGCCAGCUCUGCAUAGCUGAGUCAUUGUUAUACAAGCAGAGCUGCAUGGCACAGAAAAGCACCUUUGUACUUCAGCACUAAAACACAUCAGCUGAUGAACUUUGAAUAUGUGAUACACCCAAAGAGAACAGUCAUUUACUGGACUUUUCUUCCUCUUAUCUUUCUCACCUCUUUCUGAAUGUUUCUUCCUUUUCUAUUGUGUUUCAGAAGCUUUAGAGGAAAACAUUCUUUAUCUUCUACUGCCACUAAUGUUUGGUAAACGUUGGAAAUAAUCAGUGUGAGGGCUGUUAACUCUUUAGGCACUGGGCAACAUCUAACAGCCACACGUGCAUGUACCCCCAAUCCCAUAUGCAACCACUGAAAUUUAGGACUUGCAAUCAGAAUACCAGUAAAAUUUAACAUCAGCCAGAGAUCUGCUGUAAAGUUCUAGCAUUGUCUCUUCCUGUGAGGCCUAAUUUUGAGCUUUAUGAGUCCUUUGAAACAAAUGAGAGAGGAGGAAGAAUAUUUUUGCUGUAACCUUCUGAAAUGACUGCAUUCUGCUUUUCAAUUUUUUUCUUUCUUGCAGUUCUUUCCUUGAAACAUCAUAGGGGAACAGAAUUUAGCUUCUCAAAAUGCUUUCUACAUUUAGUAAAUGGUGAAUUAAUAGUGGAGAGCUGCCAUCAUGAUUCACACCUCAGGAAGGACAGAGCCUCACUACGCUUCAGAACGCACAUAAUGAUGCACUGCAGUGUUGUUGAACACAGCCUUGUUUUUAAAGGAGGAAGGAUGCAUAGCUGAGAUGUCACACAACACACUCAGGUCUGCAAAGCAGUUGACAACCUUGACUAUGUGAGGCACCCUGUGUUUACAAUUAAAGAGAAAACCUCAUGAUAAUGUUUGCAAAUAACUGGCAUUUCUACCACUGUUGGGUAUGUUACAGGCCAGCUGGCACCCUGAGCUCACAACCUACAGAUCUGAACUCACCAUAUUCACUCGGGCAUUGGGGCUCAGAUUCCAUAAAUGUGAUGAAUUCACUUUCACCUGCUGCCCCAAACCCUCAGCUUGGCCAUUCCUUGGCUGUUUUUCUCAGCAGAAAACUCGUCUUUGCCACCAAAUCUCUAUCAGAUACAGCACAAGCUCGCUUUCCACUGGGGCAAAGCAGCUGACGGGGCGGGAUUCUCCUUGCUACCAUUCCCGGUUGUGCCCACAGGCGGAGCCCCC